AAUCAGGAUACUGAGCUCUUUUUAAUGUCAUGUUUUUAUGACUAUUUUAAUGAAUAGUCGUUGUAUUUUCCACGUGUUGUUUCAGAUUUUUAAACGGGUGGUUGCGUGGAAAUUUCAUGGAACUGUUCAUACCGAAUUGGCCGCAAUGUUGCAUCGAGCAGCCUUCAUGGAUUGAAUUCAUGGAUACAAUACUGAAGAACGACUUUCUUACAUAAUUCCUAGUUAAUUGUUUCGACAGACAUGGUUAGUUGAAAAGAAUUGAGCAACUAAUUGUGAGGAACGCGAGCCACCAGCUCAGAUGAGACGAAGAUGUGAGUUUGUUUUGAUCAACAAAGCCCCGUUGUGGAACGAACACAGUCAAGUUUAUCAGUUGGACAUUGGAGGGAGAGUGACCCAAGAAUCUGCGAAAGAUUUCCCGAUUGAAUUCAAAGGAAAACAGGUUAUGCAGUUUGGCAUGGGAAUGUCUACACGUUAGAUUUUCAGUAUCCUUUUUCAGCUGUCCAGGCUUUUGCUGUGGCAUUGGGGAUUCAACGAUUGAAAUAAAAACGGAAUUUGAAUAAAUCUGUCCAGAGAUGGUCAAUAUGCCUCUUGUGAUAUUUAACAAGGGUGAGAAUUUAUUUCACGUGUCUUUCCUUUGUUUAUUAUGA